UUCCUUUUCCCAUCAACAUACACCAUGACACAGUCCUGGAUUGUAAAUGGGGAUUUUGGCUGUAAGACAAUUUUGCUACAUGUUGCUCACUCCACAGUUAGACCUCAAAUGAGAGGCUCUAAUGUAUGGUGCUGCAAAUUAUGAGGAACGAAAAUCACAUUUUGGCUUUUAUUGCUCAUCAAUUUGCUGUCCCCUAAAUCUUGAUCAUCUCUAAUAGAAAUCAUGCAAACAUGAACAUGAGGAAAGAGGCCACCAUUUUAGCAGGAAAACAAAUGUGUAAAGCUAAGAGAGCAAAUGAUGACAGUAAAUUUAAGAGACGUACCAGAACCAACAUUUGCAGUGUCGGCACCCUCCCUGGAUUCACUCCCUGUCCCUUCCUUUGCUGCAAGUGAACAGUUUCCCCACCCUACCACUCAGGAAGACGAAAGAAAUGGAAAGGAAGGAGACAUUGCUUUGCUCCCAGAUGUUGCACAGAGGAGGAGGUUUCACUGGAAAGACAACAUCUGCAUUGUGAGCCCAGGACUGAAGCAGCCAAUAGGAAUUGCUGUGCUCCGUGGUGAUGUCUCAGGUUUCAGGCACGUGGACACGGGAGCCCCGCCCCCACCUAUUGUUCCCCUCCUGCUGCCAAGGUUUCCGGGGCAACCAGCGGGCGGCUCGAAUCAGAGCGAGAAGCUGCUCGGGAUCUGCCCCUCCCCCUCCCUCCGGCGGCAAUUGCUGAAUCAGAAGGUGACCAUGAUCAGCCUCUGACUGUUCUGUCUGUUUAUGGUUUGCCUGUUCUGUCUGUGGGGAAAGGUAUGGACCAUGUGGAAGCAAAGAAGGAAGACCAUGGAGGAAUUUGAAAAUAAGGAUGGGUCUGAACAGCGGGCCUUAGAUUGUUUGUUAUGAAAUGUUUGUUGGUGAGAUGUGGCCAGUGCUGCCUGGAUCAGCAUUUAUUGCCCAUCUCGGGUGCUGUGGAGAAAGAGCUGCCAUGGACCAUGUCUAUAAUCUUUGACUGCCUAUUAUGCUGGGGACCAGGCAAGUCAGCGUUUCUACUGGACCUGAAGCCUGUCAAUUUCGGAUGGGUAAAUCAUGUUAGACAAAUCUACAAAAGUGUUUUUUGAAAAUGUAACUGAUAGAACCCAGUGGAUGGGGUCAUUUGGAUUUUCUCAAAGCUGCUGAUCAAGUUCCGCUUAAGAGCUGAACAUGGUUUUCAGAAGAGGAGAUUUUGCAGUUUACAAACUGAAACCAAACGUCACUCAGGAUCUGAGAGAGUUACCAAACGUAUCACAACCUGAAUACAACAGAAUAUUGGACAUGGAAGGAGAAAGCACUGUUCCCAGUGGGGAGAAACUGGUUCUGUUUUUGGGUAAGGCUUCAAUCAAUCAUCUGGCUUAUCAGAAUGUAACACACUCAUAAUGAUUAGAAGCCAUGGAGAUGAGGGGAUUGUGGAAAAGACUUCUUUCAUCCAUCAGUACUGAAAAAUCAUCAGCAUAGUUACACCAGGAAGAAGCCAUUCACCUGUUCUGAGUGUGGAGAGAGACUCACUCAAAUCAUCCACCCUGCUGACACACCAGAGUGUGGCAAGAGGCUGUUCACCCCCACAGAGUGUGGAAAGAGAUUUAUCAAUUCUUCAAACCUGGUGACACACCGGCAAGUUCACACUGAUGAGUGACCUUUUAAAUGCCCAGCCUGCAGGAAGUGCUAUGAAAGGUCUGGGGAACUAAUGCUCCAUCAAUGUGCUCACACUGAAAGAGACUGUUUGGGUGUCCUGACUGUGGGACAGCAUUUCAGUGAUCAUCUCGGCUCACUGUAUACCAUUACGUUCACAUUAGGGAGAAGCCCUUUACCUGCUCUGACCGUGGGAGGGAAGUCAGUCAGUCACCCCAUCUGCUGAGGCACCAGCACAUUCACACUGUGCAGUGACCAUUCACCUGCCCCAGCUGUGGGAAGGGAAUCACACAGGUGUCAUAUCUGCUGAGUGACCAGAGAGUUCACAAGAAACUGCAGUGAUUGGGCUUUACUAUUAACCACGUUCAGGAAUUAACCAGGUUCAUUGUGAUCUGUUUCUGCUGAUAUUAAUAACCACCUGUUCAGGUAUAUGUUAAU